rnacentral:rRNA from 1 species
UACGAAGGGGGCUAGCGUUGCUCGGAAUGACUGGGCGUAAAGGGCGCGUAGGCGGUUUGUACAGUCAGAUGUGAAAUUCCUGGGCUCAACCUGGGGGCUGCAUUUGAUACGUGCAGGCUUGAGUGUGGAAGAGGGUCGUGGAAUUCCCAGUGUAGAGGUGAAAUUCGUAGAUAUUGGGAAGAACACCGGUGGCGAAGGCGGCGACCUGGUCCAUUACUGACGCUGAGGCGCGACAGCGUGGGGAGCAAACAGG